rnacentral:rRNA from 1 species
UACGUAGGGCGCGAGCGUUGUCCGGAUUUAUUGGGCAUAAAGAGCUCGUAGGCGGUUUGUCGCGUCUGCUGUGAAAACUCGAGGCUCAACCUCGAGACGCCGAUGGAAACCCCCUGGCUAGAGUCCGGAAGAGGAGAAUGGAAUUCCUGGUGUAGCGGUGAAAUGCGCAGAUAUCAGGAAGAACACCCGUGGCUAAGGCGGUUCUCUAGUACGGUACUGACGCUGAGACGCGAAAGCGUGGGGAGCGAACAGG